rnacentral:rRNA from 1 species
ACGAACGCUGGCGGCAUGCCUAACACAUGCAAGUCGAACGAGACCUUCGGGUCUAGUGGCGCACGGGUGCGUAACGCGUGGGAAUCUGCCCUAAGGUUCGGAAUAACUCAGGGAAACUUGUGCUAAUACCGGAUAAUGUCUUCGGACCAAAGAUUUAUUGCCUUUGGAUGAGCCCGCGUCGGAUUAGCUUGUUGGUGAGGUAAAAGCUCACCAAGGCGACGAUCCGUAGCUGGUCUGAGAGGAUGAUCAGCCACACUGGGACUGAGACACGGCCCAGACUCCUACGGGAGGCAGAAGUGGGGAAUAUUGGACAAUGGGCGAAAGCCUGAUCCAGCAAUGCCGCGUGAGUGAUGAAGGCCUUAGGGUUGUAAAGCUCUUUUACCCGGGAUGAUAAUGACAGUACCGGGAGAAUAAGCUCCGGCUAACUCCGU